UUGUAUAUAUCCACAUACAAAUACAUAUAUGUAUGUAUAUGGAUUGUAUAUUUAUCUGUGUAUUUCUCUAUUUCUUCAAUACUUCUUCAGCGAUAAAUCCUCGCACUCAACAAAAUACAUAAACGAUUUAUAGUUGAACAAACGGCGCAAAAUGCAACAAUAGCCAAAAAAGAAAAAUACAGAAAUACAAAAAAUACAACAACAAGAAAAGCAGGACAAGGGGCACAGUAGCUAACGGCCAGCGCCUCAGCUAUAGGAACAAGUUUUCCUGCUGUUACCAAAUCCCGGCGCAACAUAAAUCUUUAAUGGAAUAUCUUGGCAGCAGGCGAGAGACCAUAUGCAGCGAGGGCAGUCCAAGCAGAUCUGGAACACCAAAAAAGAAAACAA